UCCCUGGUGGCCCAGUGGUAAGGAUUUGGCACUGUCACUGCCAUGGCUUGGGUUCAAACCCUGGCCGGGGAA
rnacentral:tRNA from 1 species